GGCCGCCUGGCGAAAUGGCAUCGCGUCUGACUACGAUUUCCGUAGUAAUUUCGUCGUAUCUAUCAGGAGAUUGCAGGUUCGACCCCUGCGGUGGUCA